rnacentral:rRNA from 1 species
AAAAGAAGAAGCGAAGCCGCGAGGCAGAGCAAAUCUCGAAAAAACAAUCUCAGUUCAGACUGCAGGCUGCAACUCGCCUGCACGAAGUCGGAAUUGCUAGUAAUCGUAGGUCAGCAUACUACGGUGAAUACGUUCCCGGGCCUUGUACACACCGCCCGUCAAACCAUGAGAGUUGGCAACACCCGAAGUCGGUAGUCUAACCGCAAGGAGGACGCCGCCGAAGGUGGGGUCGAUGAUUAGGGUUAAGUCGUAACAAGGUAAC